rnacentral:rRNA from 1 species
AGUGAACGCUGGCGGUAGGCCUAACACAUGCAAGUCGAACGGCAGCACAGUAAGAUCUUGCUCUUACGGGUGGCGAGUGGCGGACGGGUGAGGAAUACAUCGGAAUCUACUUUUUCGUGGGGGAUAACGUAGGGAAACUUACGCUAAUACCUCAUACGACCUACGGGUUAAAGCAGGGGAUCUUCGGACCUUGCGCGAUUGUAUUAGCCGAUGCCGGAUUAGCUAGUUGGCUGGGUAAAGGCCCACCAAGGCAACGAUCCGUAGCUGGUCUGAGAGGAUGAUCGGCCACACUGGAACUGAGACACGGUCCAGACUCCUACGGGAGGCAGCAGUGGGGAAUAUUGGGCAAUGGGCGAAAGCCUGAUCCAGCCAUACCGCGUGAGUGAAGAAGGCCUUCGGGUUGUAAAGCCCUUUUGUUGGGGAAGAAAAGCAGCAGGUUAAUACCCCGCUGUUCUGACGGUACCCAAAGAAUAAGCAACGGCUAACUUCGUG